UACGUAGGGUGCAAGCGUUAAUCGGAAUUACUGGGCGUAAAGCGUGCGCAGGCGGCUUCUCAAGUCAGGGGUGAAAGCCCAGAGCUCAACUCUGGAAUUGCCUUUGAGACUGAGUGGCUUGAGUACGGGAGAGGUGAGUGGAAUUCCCAGUGUAGAGGUGAAAUUCGUAGAUAUUGGGAAGAACACCGGUGGCGAAGGCGGCUCACUGGCCCGUAACUGACGCUCAUGCACGACAGCGUGGGGAUCAAACAGG
rnacentral:rRNA from 1 species